UACGGAGGGUGCAAGCGUUAUCCGGAUUCACUGGGUUUAAAGGGUGCGUAGGUGGGUAGGUAAGUCAGUGGUGAAAUCUCCAAGCUUAACUUGGAAACUGCCGUUGAUACUAUUUAUCUUGAAUAUAGUGGAGGUGAGCGGAAUAUGUCAUGUAGCGGUGAAAUGCUUAGAUAUGACAUAGAACACCGAUUGCGAAGGCAGCUUGCUACACUACUAUUGACACUGAGGCACGAAAGCGUGGGGAUCAAACAGG
rnacentral:rRNA from 1 species